UGCGCCUUAGAGUAAUGGUAAUUCACCGGCCUCCUAAGCCGGCAAUCCUGGUUCGAGUCCAGGGGGCGCAA
rnacentral:tRNA from 1 species